rnacentral:rRNA from 1 species
GACGAACGCUGGCGGCGUGCUUAACACAUGCAAGUCGAACGGAAAGGCCCUCCUUUUGUGGGUUUUUCUGGUGGCGAACGGGUGGGUAGCACGUGAGUACCUUGCCCUCGACUUUGGGAUAACUUCAGAAACUUGGGGCUAUAACCGUAUAGGACCUCCUGCUCCAUGGUGGGGGUUGGAAAGUUUCGGCGGUUGGGGAUGGACUGGCGGCUUAUCCGUUUGUUGGUGGGGUAGUGGCUUACAAGGGCUUUGACGGGAACCCGGCCUGAGAGGGGUACCGGGCACAUUGGGACUGAGAUACGGCCCAGAGUCGUGAGGGAGGCAGCAGUGGGGAAUAUUGCACAAUGGGCGGAAGCCGGAUGCAGCAACGCCGCGUGAGGGAUGACGGCCUGCGGGUUGUAAACCGCUUUCGCCGGUGACGAAGCGUGAGUGACGGUAAUGUGUAAAGAAGCACCGGCUAACUACGUG